rnacentral:rRNA from 1 species
UACGUAGGGUGCAAGCGUUGUCCGGAAUUAUUGGGCGUAAAGAGCUCGUAGGCGGUCUGUCGCGUCGAAUGUGAAAACCCGGGACUCAACUCCGGGCCUGCAUUCGAUACGGGCAGACUAGAGUUCGGUAGGGGAGACUGGAAUUCCUGGUGUAGCGGUGAAAUGCGCAGAUAUCAGGAGGAACACCGGUGGCGAAGGCGGGUCUCUGGGCCGAAACUGACGCUGAGGAGCGAAAGCGUGGGGAGCGAACAGG